rnacentral:rRNA from 1 species
AUUGAACGCUGGCGGCAGGCCUAACACAUGCAAGUCGAGCGGAUCGGGGGACGGGUGAGUGAUGCCUAUGACUCUGCCUGGUAGUGGUGGAUAACGUCCGGUAACGGGCGCUAAUACCGAAUACUCUCAGAUGAGCCUAGGUCGGAUUAGCAAGUUGGUGGGGUAAGGGCCUACCAAGGCGACGGUCCGUAACUGGUCUGAGAGGAUGAUCAGUCACACUGGAACUGAGACACGGUCCAGACUCCUACGGGAGGCAGCAGUGGGGAAUAGUGGACAAUGGGCGAAAGCCGGAUCCAGCCAUGCCGCGUGUGUGAAGAAGGUCUUCGGAUUGUAAAGCACUUUCAGCGAGGAGGCGUUACUCGCAGAAGAAGCACCGGCUAACUCCGUGCCAGCAGCCGCGGUAAUUC